CCCUGGGUCUCAGUUGGCACUUCUGGAAUUGAAGAAGUCAGAAGCUGAUGAAGUUUCAAAAGGCACGUUAUCCUUCAGCUUGUUUCUAGAAAUGAGGAUGAAGUGAGGAAACCAUCUCCAGCACUAGUUCCUAUCUAGGAUGGAUGGAGAGUGGGAGCCAAGAAAACCUUUCCUAUCUGUACCCACAGAGUUUGAAAUUAUCUGUUACUGAUUAUACCUCAUCUCACCCUGACUGGCACAAAGCCCAAUGACCUCUGAAAAGGAAACUAUCAGCCCAAGGAAGGACUGCCAGAGGAUUUUAUGUCUGAUGCUGAAGCCCGGGUUCCUGUGUGAGAGUAGAGCUUGGAUCAACGAUUCUUGAUCCUGACACAGCAACUUCAGAUUUUGUCAAUGGUUCAACCAUCUGGAACUCACAGAAACCAAGAGGCAGUGUGUUGUUGUACCUGACAAGAAAGUGGGACCUGUCUUGUCAGAUGAUUCGAGAAUUCUUUGCCUAAGAGGGUUUUGCCUAUCUAAUAUCUUGAGUUUUGGAUUAGGAGCUUUGCUGGAUUUCCCCAUCCCUGAAGGAAGAGAGGUUGGUAUGGUGGCUCUGUGAAGCAAGUUGAAGAUCUUGCCAAUCAUGAACUAAGAGAUACAGAGAAUUUUCCCAGUGGAGCAAAAUUCCCAACAAAGAGGACUAUGGAGACGAGCAGGUUGUGCUUAGAAGCCGGCUGAGUACCUCAUGUCUGGAAGCUGCAAGCCGGAUCUGACUACUUGCCCGCAUAUUCUCUUUGUGGGUUCGGCUAUAACACUGGGAUGUUGUUGGAGAGGAUGCCUUGUGCUGAGUCUUCACUUUUGCUCCACAAAGCUGCCGUCUGUCCUCUGCUGCCACAACAGCUUCCUCUCUAGACUAGUCUGGCCCUUCUUACAUCCCAGAGUUGGAACCUGCCUUCUUCCUUGUAGCAGGUGAAAGAACUUUGAACCAGAAAUGCAUGAAAAGAUUAACCACAGAAUGUAAACCGUAAGAGCUAAUUGGACAAGAGGCAUGAUAUUUGAAACUGGUGCUAUCAGACUCUAGGAACUGAAAAACCACCCUACUUGCAUUGUCUGAACACAUCGAGGGGGCCUUUUUCUCAUCUAUUGGCAUUUUGUGGCUGUGCACCAUUCUGAUGUGGAACGGAAAAAGAAUUCUCAGCCAUGAUUUAAUGGCUCAGGUGUCAAAGGCAUCUCCAGCUGGUGGUGCUGUUUGAAAUGAGAAGAAACUUGAAGAGGUGAUCCUGGAGUCAGCAGGGUUGUGGCCUUUGAGGAUAGACUUAUUCCUCAGUUACAGACUCAACUGACCGAGGC
rnacentral:lncRNA from 1 species